GUGAGGAAUAUUGGACAAUGGGCGCAAGCCUGAUCCAGCCAUGCCGCGUGCAGGAAGACGCAUCUAUGGUGUGUAAACUGCUUUUGUACGGGAAGAAACACUCCCUCGUGAGGGAGCUUGACGGUACCGUAAGAAUAAGGAUCGGCUAACUCCGUGCCAGCAGCCGCGGUAAUACGGAGGAUCCAAGCGUUAUCCGGAAUCAUUGGGUUAAAAGGGUCCGUAGGCGGUUUAAUAAGUCAGUGGUGAAAGCCCAUCGCUCAACGAUGGAACGGCCAUUGAUACUGUUAGACUUGAAUUACAAGGAAGUAACUAGAAUAUGUAGUGUAGCGGUGAAAUGCUUAGAUAUUACAUGGAAUACCAAUUGCGAAGGCAGGUUACUACUUGUGGAUUGACGCUGAUGGACGAAAGCGUGGGGAGCGAACAGGAUUAGAUACCCUGGUAGUCC
rnacentral:rRNA from 1 species